UCCUGCCAUAUUUGUGCUUUCUGAUGCUGUUAAGUGGUCACCUUCCUGUCCUGUAGCACAGUUUCAACAAGAGGAGCAAUACUGCCCUGUAGAUCAUGCUGCUUCUGAGGGACCGCCACUGGGUGCUACCUCAGCCUGCAGCCUCUCCCACACAACGCGGUUGCCGCCAUUUUGUGAGAAGAAUGGGGAUCGUUCCUUUGAGGAAAGGCCUCACUCCAGGGGAAUUUCUGGUUUUACUUUUAAAUAAAGCCUGACAGAGAUGUUUAGAAAGUGCUUUCACCUAUGCCAUCUGUAAUGUUUGUAUUUCCUGAUGACCUUUUCAACAGUUUGUUAUUCUCAUUCUUCUGUCCAUGCGAGAAAGAUGGAAUUCUCCAAGGAAAGCUACUCGAACAUAUGGCAAGGUGGCCCUGCAGUUUGCAGACAAGGCUUCUGAACAAAACAAAGGGUGAAAAGUAAAAGAAAAGAAGGGAUCAGAGUACAGAUAAGGACAUGAAGCAAAACUGUAUUAGAGAAAAUAGGUCUCAUUAGGAGUUCAUGUGUCUCAAACCUUAUUCGAUAGA